rnacentral:rRNA from 1 species
AUACCGGGCCUUUUUGGGCUUGGUAAUAGGAAUGAGGGAGAGUUAAACGGACCAUCGAGUAUCCAUUGGAGGGCAAGUCUGGUGCCAGCAGCUGCGGUAAUACCAGCUCCAAUAGCGUAUAUUAAAGUUGUUGCAGUUAAAAAGCUCGUAGUUGGACUUGUGUGCGCUGUCCGCGGGUGGCCUGCGCCCAAAAGGGCGUUUCGGUUCGGCCCCGGUGGCGCCUUGAGAUCUGCAGCUGGGGGGACGUUGGCCUUAACUGGUCGGCGACCGCACGCCGGCUGCUCGGUUACUGUGAGAAAAUUAGAGUGUUCAAGGCAGGCAUUGGGUGCAAUUGAAUACAUUAGCAUGGAAUAAUAAAAUAUGGCUCCUGCCGUAUUUUGUUGGUUUUGACUGGUGGGAGUAAUGAUUGAUAGGGACGGUUGGGGGUGCUAGUAUUGAGCGGCCAGAGGUGAAAUUCAUGGAUUCGCUCAAGACUAACUUAUGCGAAAGCAUUCACCAAGGACGUCCUCUUUAAUCAAGAACGAAAGUUGGGGGAUCGAAGACGAUCAGAUACCGUCGUAGUCUCAACCAUAAACUAUGUCGACUUGGGAUCGGCGGUAGUUUUUUCAUUAAGACACUGUCGGGACCACGGGAGAAAUCAAAGUGUCUGGACUCUGGGGGAAGUAUGGUCGCAAGGCUGAAACUUGAAGGAAUUGACGGAAGGGCACCACCAGGAGUGGAGCCUGCGGCUCAAUUUGACCCAACACGGGGAAACUUACCAGGUCCAGAGAUGUAGAGGAUUGACAGAUUGAAGCUCUUUCUUGAUCACUUCGGUGGUGGUGCAUGGCCGUUCUUAGUUGGUGGAGUGAUUUGUCUGGUUAAUUCCGUUAACGAACGAGACCUCAGCCUGCUAGUGUAGUCGGCUGGAUUGCCUUUGGCGAUCCGUGAUUUCGACUUCUUAGAGGGACAAUCGACGCGCAGUCGAUGGAAGUUUGAGGCAAUAACAGGUCUGUGAUGCCCUUAGAUGUUCUGGGCCGCACGCGCGCUACACUGCUGGGCUCAGCGAGUUUUACUUGGCCGAGAGGCCCGGUUAAUCUUGUGAAAUCCCAGCGUGCUUGGGCUCGCCUCCUGCAACUGGAGGCGCCAACGAGGAAUUCCUAGUAGACGCAGGUCAUCAACCUGCAUCGAUUACGUCCCUGCCCUUUGUACACACCGCCCGUCGUUCCAUAAGAGUGAGGCAUCCGGUGAAUUCUCGGGAGAGCCUGGGCGUGGCCAGCAAUGGUCUGCUCGGGUUUGAACUUGCAUAAACUUGGUGCCUAUGAUUAGGG